rfam:Schistosoma haematobium scaffold1844_3, whole genome shotgun sequence.
AGCUUUUCGAAUCCGUGCUGAGAUUUCGUCAGACACUAGCCCAUGAUUCCUGAUCAGACUUCCGAGAUAAGUGAAGUU